rnacentral:rRNA from 1 species
CACGUAGGCACCAAGCGUUGUCCGGAUUUAUUGGGCGUAAAGAGCUCGUAGGCGGUUCAGUAAGUCGGGUGUGAAAACUUUGGGCUUAACCCAAAGCGUGCAUCCGAUACUGCUGUGACUUGAGUACGGUAGGGGAGCGGGGAAUUCCUAGUGUAGCGGUGAAAUGCGCAGAUAUUAGGAGGAACACCGGUGGCGAAGGCGCCGCUCUGGGCCGAAACUGACGCUGAAGAGCGAAAGCAUGGGUAGCAAACAGG